UGGGGAAUAUUGCACAAUGGGGGAAACCCUGAUGCAGCAACGCCGCGUGAAGGAAGACGGUUUUCGGAUUGUAAACUUCUGUUCUUAGUGAAGAAUAAUGACGGUAGCUAAGGAGCAAGCCACGGCUAACUACGUGCCAGCAGCCGCGGUAAUACGUAGGUGGCAAGCGUUGUCCGGAAUUACUGGGUGUAAAGGGAGCGCAGGCGGGAGACCAAGUCAGCUGUGAAAACUACGGGCUUAACCUGUAGACUGCAGUUGAAACUGGUUUUCUUGAGUGAAGUAGAGGUUGGCGGAAUUCCGAGUGUAGCGGUGAAAUGCGUAGAUAUUCGGAGGAACACCGGUGGCGAAGGCGGCCAACGGGCUUUAACUGACGCUGAGGCUCGAAAGUGUGGGGAGCAAACAGGAUUAGAUACCC
rnacentral:rRNA from 1 species